rnacentral:tRNA from 1 species
UGGGGUGUAGCUCAGUUGAUAGAGUGCUUGCCUAGUAUGCGUGAAGCCCUGGGUUCGCUUCCCUUCACCACAU